UCCUCAGUUCCGGGGCGGCCACAGUUGGAGGCGGAGCUGGAGUGUCGUGCUCCAGGACUACAGGAGUCUGCGCCCUGGUGGUGGCCAGAACCAGCAUGAAAUUGGAAGAGCCUGAUUGACCCGGGGAAGGUGCCGGAAGGUCCUCCGUGUGUUCCCCCUCCCCCUUUCUGCUUCCACAGCACUUCCACCUCCUGGGCCUGGGGAAGCCCCACAGCAAAGGAUGCCAGCCAAGGAGGCUCCUGCCUCCACUCUUCAAGCUCCAGGAACAUGAGAUGGAGAAUUCUUGCCAAGCUUCUUCUGGAAAGAGUAAUAAACUCUGCAAUAAACUUUUGAAA